rnacentral:lncRNA from 1 species
CACAACCCCCACACACACUGCAGGGCUGCAUUUGCUGCUCCCCAGGGCAGCCUGGAGCCAGCAGCUUCAAAGGAGCACAUCAAAGCUCCGUGCACAGCACAGAGCAGCCCGGGAAGCAGGGUGGCAUCUCUCCUCUCCCUGGCGAAUGUGGAACCUCAGGGGGCUUCCCAAAGGACACGUAUGUCCCUAUGUCUUGCCUUGAACUUUUCCUGUCUUAUGAGACAGACUGCAGCUGCGCACCCAAAGGCUGUGACAAGGAAGCUGGGCAGAGG